UGGGGAAUAUUGCGCAAUGGGGGAAACCCUGACGCAGCGACGCCGCGUGCGGGAUGAAGGCCUUCGGGUUGUAAACCGCUUUUGAUUGGGAGCAAGCUUUCGGGUGAGUGUACCUUUCGAAUAAGCGCCGGCUAACUACGUGCCAGCAGCCGCGGUAAUACGUAGGGCGCAAGCGUUAUCCGGAAUUAUUGGGCGUAAAGAGCUUGUAGGCGGUUCGUCGCGUCUGGUGUGAAAGCCCCCGGCUCAACCGGGGAGGGUCAUUGGAAACUGGUUGACUUGAGUGCAGAAGAGGAGAGUGGAAUUCCAUGUGUAGCGGUGAGAUGCGUAGAUAUAUGGAGGAACACCAGUGGCGAAGGCGACUCUCUGGUCUGUAACUGACGCUGAGGCUCGAAAGCGUGGGUAGCAAACAGG
rnacentral:rRNA from 1 species